rnacentral:rRNA from 1 species
CCCUUAGAUGUUCUGGGCUGCACGCGCGCUACACUGAUGCACUCAACGAGUUUCUUCCUGGUCCGAGAGGAAUGGGUAACCUUUUGAAAGUGCAUCGUGAUAGGGAUAGACUAUUGCAAUUAUUGAUCUUCAACGAGGAAUUCCUAGUAGACGUAGUUCAUCAGACUGCAUCGAUUACGUCCCUGCCCUUUGUACACACCGCCCGUCGCUCCUACCGAUUGAAUGCUCAGGUGAGCCAUUCGGACUUUCAUCAUGCUGGUUUCCAGUUUUGAUGAAGGAAAGUCUUGCGAACCUUAUCAUUUAGAGGAAGGAGAAGUCGUAACA